rnacentral:siRNA from 1 species
AGCAAGAUUCCAGUCAGGGCCG